UACGUAGGUGGCAAGCGUUGUCCGGAAUUAUUGGGCGUAAAGCGCGCGCAGGCGGUCCUUUAAGUCUGAUGUGAAAGCCCACGGCUCAACCGUGGAGGGUCAUUGGAAACUGGGGGGACUUGAGUGCAGGAGAGAAGAGUGGAAUUCCACGUGUAGCGGUGAAAUGCGUAGAGAUGUGGAGGAACACCAGUGGCGAAGGCGACUCUUUGGCCUGUAACUGACGCUGAGGCGCGAAAGUGUGGGGAGCAAACAGG
rnacentral:rRNA from 1 species